CCUACGGGUGGCAGCAGUGAGGAAUAAUGGUCAAUGGGCGCGAGCCUGAACCAGCCAAGUCGCGUGAGGGAAGACGGUCCUAUGGAUUGUAAACCUCUUUUGUCGGGGAGCAAAAGACGCCACGCGUGGCGUGCCGAGAGUACCCGAAGAAAAAGCAUCGGCUAACUCCGUGACAGCAGCCGCGGUAAUACGGAGGAUGCGAGCGUUAUCCGGAUUAUUUGGGGUUAAAGGGUGCGCAGGCGGAAGAUCAAGUCAGCGGUAAAAUUGGGAGGCUCAACCUCUUCGAGCCGUUGAAACUGGUUUUCUUGAGUGAGUGAGAAGUAUGCGGAAUGCGUGGUGUAGCGGUGAAAUGCAUAGAUAUCACGCAGAACUCCGAUUGCGAAGGCAGCAUACCGGCGCUCAACUGACGCUCAUGCACGAAAGUGUGGGUAUCGAACAGGAUUAGAUACCCUUGUAGU
rnacentral:rRNA from 1 species